GGUUUUAGACCUAAAGACCAGUUUACUGGAUCGUUAUAUGCAAUUUGAACAAUUGGAGGGAUCAAGUCCCAAUUCCUAAUAUUUUUCUGGACUAGAGACUGUAAUAAAUUGUCAGGAUUUUGGUUAGCACUUUUGUUUUGACCAUCAAUUUGAGGUUGGUCAGUGGUGGAUAAUUUUGCCUUAGUGUUAACCACAGGUGACUGGAUUUUUCAAGGGUGACUGGUGACAUCAUCAAGCUCUUUAACUUGGGUAUGGGUAUGACAUAUAACAUGUGAUCGAGAAUUGUCGGACAUAAGGGAUAUAGUAUCCAAAGUCUCGAGAAGAGUCUGGAUUCCACCUAAGGAAGUGUCCUCACUAUUAUCCAAGUCAUCAAAAUCUUCAAGUUUAGGUUCAUAGACUAGAUCUUCUAACGGCUCCUCUAUUACAUUCUUUCGUUCUUUCAUGACUAGGGUUCGAUUAGGACAUUUAGAAGAAAUGUGACCAAAGUCUUUACAGUUGACGCACAACAAGUGAGAAGAAGACCUUGGAGUUUCAGAAAUUCUACCCUGAUUUUUCAAAAUUGGAAAACCAUUAGAAGGGGGAGGUCCUAUAAGGGACUUAACGGGAGGAGGUGGAGCCAAUGAAGCCAAAUGAUGAUUAUAAAAAAUAUUACCCUUAUUUUUCAAAAUUGGAGGAAUAUCAGACGGGAGAGGUCCUAGAAGGGACUUAACGGGAGGAAUUGGAGCCAAUGACACCGAAGAAUGAUUGUCCAUAUGCUUUCUACAUGGAAAAGAAGAUCUUGGACUAUCACAACCUUUACAAUUAUUUUUCCAAAUAGGAGGAACAUUAGACGGAGACGGUUUUAUGAUAGACUUAUGAUGAGACGACGCUAAUGAGAUGGGUGAGCGACGAUGACCACGCUUUUCAUAUGGAGUACUAAUAAUCAACUCAUAAUCUCGAGCUAAAGAGUAAGCGUGAUCAAGAGUAG
rnacentral:lncRNA from 1 species